rnacentral:rRNA from 1 species
AUCCUACGGGGCGCAGCAGUGGGGGAUAUUGCACAAUGGGGGGAACCCUGAUGCAGCGACGCCGCGUGGGUGAAGAAGCGCCUCGGCGCGUAAAGCCCUGUCAGCAGGGAAGAAAGUGACGGUACCUGAAGAAGAAGCCCCGGGAAACUACGUGCCAGCAGCCGCGGUAAUACGUAGGGGGCAAGCGUUAUCCGGAUUUACUGGGUGUAAAGGGAGCGUAGACGGCGAUGCAAGUCUGAAGUGAGAGGCGGCG